rnacentral:rRNA from 1 species
CAGUAAGGAAUAUUGGUCAAUGGACGCAAGUCUGAACCAGCCAUGCCGCGUGGAGGAUGACGGUCCUCUGGAUUGUAAACUUCUUUUAUCUGGGACGAAACACUCCUAUUCUUAGGGGCCUGACGGUACCAGAUGAAUAAGCACCGGCUAACUCCGUGCCAGCAGCCGCGGUAAUACGGAGGGUGCAAGCGUUAUCCGGAUUCACUGGGUUUAAAGGGUGCGUAGGUGGGUAUGUAAGUCAGUGGUGAAAUCCCCGAGCUUAACUUGGGAACUGCCGUUGAUACUAUAUAUCUUGAAUGUCGUAGAGGUAAGCGGAAUAUGUCAUGUAGCGGUGAAAUGCUUAGAGAUGACAUAGAACACCAAUUGCGAAGGCAGCUUGCUAUGCGAUUAUUGACACUGAGGCACGAAAGCGUGGGUAGCAAACAGGAUUAGA